rnacentral:lncRNA from 1 species
GCAGCUCGGCUCCACCCGGACUCCUACGGGAGCCGGGCUCCGCCUUCAGUAUCAGCUGCUGGUAAGCUCCGUCUGGACUCCUAUGGGAGCCAGACUUCAUCUUUAACUUUGAUUGCAGAGUGCUCCGCCCGGGCUCCUACGGGAGCCGGGUUCCAUUUUCAGUAUCCACUGCAGGUAAGCUCCGUCCGGACUCCUACGGGAGCCGGACUCCACCUACGACCCCAACCGAAAGGAGGACCCUUCCCGAACUUCUACAGAGGCCGGACUCC